rnacentral:rRNA from 1 species
GAUGAACGCUGGCGGCGUGCCUAACACAUGCAAGUCGAACGGACAGACGAGUGCUUUCACUCGUGGACCAUUGGCGAACGCGUGAGUAACACGUGAGUAACCCGCCCAUCACUCUCGGAUAUGCCCUGGAAACGCUGUCUAUUACUCGAUACGAUCUAUUCAUCCAUGUGGUGUUGGUGGAAAGGUCUAUCCUUGAUGGAUGGACGCGCGGCCUAUCAGCUCAUUGGCGAGGUAAUGGCCUACCAAGUCGACGACGGGUCGCCGGCCUGAGAAGGUGAACGGCCACAAUAGGACUGAGACAGGGAGCAGAAGCCAACGGGAGGCAGCAGGGGAGAAUAUUGCGCAAUGGGCGAAAGCCUGUUGCGGAGACGCCGCGUGAGGAAAGACGGCCUUCGAGUUAUAAACCUCUUUCAGCGGGGAAGAAGCGAAAGUGACGGUACCUGAAGAAGAAGCACCGGCUAACUACGUG